GUGGGGAAUCUUGCGCAAUGGGCGAAAGCCUGACGCAGCCAUGCCGCGUGAAUGAUGAAGGUCUUAGGAUUGUAAAAUUCUUUCACCGGGGACGAUAAUGACGGUACCCGGAGAAGAAGCCCCGGCUAACUUCGUGCCAGCAGCCGCGGUAAUACGAAGGGGGCUAGCGUUGCUCGGAAUUACUGGGCGUAAAGGGCGCGUAGGCGGACAGUUUAGUCAGAGGUGAAAGCCCAGGGCUCAACCUUGGAAUUGCCUUUGAUACUGGAUGUCUUGAGUACGGGAGAGGUGAGUGGAACUCCGAGUGUAGAGGUGAAAUUCGUAGAUAUUCGGAAGAACACCAGUGGCGAAGGCGACUCACUGGCCCGUUACUGACGCUGAGGCGCGAAAGCGUGGGGAGCAAACAGGAUUAGAAACCCCAGUAGUCC
rnacentral:rRNA from 1 species